rnacentral:rRNA from 1 species
GACGAACGCUGGCGGCGUGCCUAAUACAUGCAAGUAGAACGCUGAAGAGAGGAGCUUGCUCUUCUUGGAUGAGUUGCGAACGGGUGAGUAACGCGUAGGUAACCUGCCUUGUAGCGGGGGAUAACUAUUGGAAACGAUAGCUAAUACCGCAUAACAAUGGAUGACACAUGUCAUUUAUUUGAAAGGGGCAAUUGCUCCACUACAAGAUGGACCUGCGUUGUAUUAGCUAGUAGGUGAGGUAAUGGCUCACCUGGGCGACGAUACAUAGCCGACCUGAGAGGGUGAUCGGCCACACUGGGACUGAGACACGGCCCAGACUCCUACGGGAGGCAGCAGUAGGGAAUCUUCGGCAAUGGGGGCAACCCUGACCGAGCAACGCCGCGUGAGUGAAGAAGGUUUUCGGAUCGUAAAGCUCUGUUGUAAGUCAAGAACGGGUGUGAGAGUGGAAAGUUCACACUGUGACGGUAGCUUACCAGAAAGGGACGGCUAACUACGUG